GAAGUAGUGUGUCAUAUUGUAUUCUAACAAGGUAAAGCACUGAAUAAACUUAGGGGGUUUAUCCUUACUAAGUAAAAUCAAACUAUGAAUGUGUUAGAAGAAAUUUAUGACAAACAGACAAUUCGCGAGAAGGUGGAUUGUCAAAAGGGACACAACCCAGAUCAGAAGUUAAGGUCACAAAUAAUAUCUAAGUGUAAAAGGGGCAGAAUCUGGAACCCGAAGUAGGGUCGACUUAGAUAAUGAGAAAGUAGGCUUGGAACCAGCCAUCUUAAAUAGAUUACGUAAUAGUUCACUCCAAUAGUUGGUUAGCCCCUAAAAUUUUGAUGGCUUAAGAAAAAGAAAGUCAAUAAACCCAACUCUGAAAUUAUAAUUUGGUAGCAGAACGUUUUGUUAUAGAGUAAGCAAUAGCUAAAAUCAAAAGUGAUAAUGCGAACAUGAGUAAAAUACAGUGUGAUAAUCGUGCUCAAUCGACCUAAGGUUUCCAAUUAAAGGAUUAACCGAAUUGGAUUAUUCAGUCCCUAAAAAUUAAUCGAUGGGGGAACUCAUUUAAGCGCUGCGGGCGUCAGGAAAUAAUAUUAGAUCACAAUAAAGGAUGACUGUACUAUAAACUAACACAAGAGGGUCGAAUUGAUGGUUGAAUUUAUCUUAAGGAACUCGGCAAAUUGUCUCUGUAAGUUCGCAAGAAAGAGAGUCAAAACUUAACAACUCAUUAGGGGUUAAGUUAGAUCGCAGAAAACAGGGGGUGUUGACUGUUUACCAAAAACAUAGCUUCCAGCAAAUUUUAAUAAAAAAUUAAGUAUUGGAAGUGAGGCCUGCCCAAUGAUUGUAUCCUAACUUAAAUAAUAAACUGGGAUAAAGUUAUUUGAUUAAGGACAAUUCAAUGGCCGCGGUAAAACUGACCGUGAUAAUGUAGCGCAAUCCAUAGCCAAUUAAUUGUUGGCAAGUAUGAAUGGCUUAACAAGCGCCCCGCUGUCUCAAGAUAAAAACCUGUGAAAUUGGAGCCGUAGUGAAGAUACUACGUACAAAUUGUUAGACGAGAAGACCCCAUUGAGCUUUACUGGAAAUUUAUAUAAUUCUUUUUUUAUUAAUGUGUAGAUUAUGUGGGAACUAAACAAUAGUUUUGACUUUAAUGAAAAACCACUUUUUAAUAAUUUAAGGUUCAAAAAAAAGUAAAAGUGUAAAGCAGACAGUUUAGUUGGGGCGACUGCCUUCUAAAUAGUAACGAAGGUGUACAAAGGUGAAUAAAAUAAUAGAUUUAGUUUAAAGCCUGACAGCGAGGAUAAUUUUCCGAGCUGACACGAAGAUUUAUUAGGGAUGAUUUUUCGUGGGUUAUAAUGACCCGUUAGUAUUAAAUGGGAAAGCUAACGAUCAACGGAUAAAAGUUACCAUGGGGAUAACAGCGUAAUAUCGUUCGAGAGUUCAUAUCGACAACGAUGUUUGCGACCUCGAUGUUGAAUUGUGGUAUCCUGGGGGUGCAGCCGCCCCCAAGGGUUGGACUGUUCGUCCAUUAAAACCGCACAUGAUUUGAGUUCAGAUCGGCGUGAGCCAGAUCGGUUUCUAUCUACAAUUUGUAAAGGAAACAUAGAUAUCUCUAUUUUCUAGUACGAAAGGACCGAAUAAUUAGUUGUCCUCUGGUGCCCAAUUUAAGGGGAAGUACGUUGGAUAGCCACGACAGUAAAACUAUAUUGGUAAAUUACCUUUUAAGUUAAUCACUGAAAGCAUCUUAAGUGAGAAACUAAAUAUUAUUUUAUGUUUCCAUUAUAUUGGAUCGUUUAAGACUAAAACGUCGAUAGGACCUAAGUAAGUUUGGCUAAGGGUUACUAAACUCUUAUUACUAAUCUAAUUUAAUAAUUCUA
rnacentral:rRNA from 1 species